UACGUAGGGUGCGAGCGUUAAUCGGAAUUACUGGGCGUAAAGCGUGCGCAGGCGGUUUUGUAAGCCAGAUGUGAAAUCCCCGGGCUUAACCUGGGAAUGGCAUUUGGGACUGCAAGGCUUGAGUGCGGCAGAGGAGACUGGAAUUCCUGGUGUAGCAGUGAAAUGCGUAGAUAUCAGGAGGAACACCGAUGGCGAAGGCAGGUCUCUGGCUGGACACUGACGCUCAUGCACGAAAGCGUGGGGAGCGA
rnacentral:rRNA from 1 species